rnacentral:rRNA from 1 species
AACAAACGCUGGCGGCAUGCCUAACACAUGCAAGUCGAACGAACCCUUCGGGGUUAGUGGCGCACGGGUGCGUAACGCGUGGGAAUCUGCCCUUUGCUUCGGAAUAACAGUUAGAAAUGACCGCUAAUACCGGAUGAUGUCUUCGGACCAAAGAUUUAUCGGCAAGGGAUGAGCCCGCGUAGGAUUAGGUAGUUGGUGGGGUAAAGGCCUACCAAGCCGACGAUCCUUAGCUGGUCUGAGAGGAUGAUCAGCCACACUGGGACUGAGACACGGCCCAGACUCCUACGGGAGGCAGCAGUGGGGAAUAUUGGACAAUGGGCGCAAGCCUGAUCCAGCAAUGCCGCGUGAGUGAUGAAGGCCUUCGGGUCGUAAAGCUCUUUUACCAGGGAUGAUAAUGACAGUACCUGGAGAAUAAGCUCCGGCUAACUCCGUGCCAGCCGCCGCGGUAAUAC